rnacentral:lncRNA from 1 species
UUUUUUGAAGAAAUAACAAGUGCCCAGAAUUAAAAUCACAAUCAAGAGUCUAAUGAAAAGAUCAAGUAUUUUAGAAAACUAAAGAGUACCCAGAUGCAAAAUCAAGGUCAAGAAGCUAAAAACACUAUAAAGAUUUGAUAUUUACGAGAUAAAAAAGACCCAGAUGCAAAAUCAAGAUCAAGAGACUCUAAGGACUAUAAAGAUUCAAACUCUUCCAACAAAAAUUAACGUACAGAGGGUUAGAUUAUAGGGUCACGGAGAGCCACAAGACAGACGGCGAGACAGAGAGAGGGAUUGAAGAG